UUAUAAUAGCUUUUUGGAGUAAAGAAUGAAGAGGGCAAACGUGAUGAGGAAAAAGAGACUGUCAGUAAUUGCAAUGCACACACAAGGGAGAGCAGGCACAGUGAACAUUUCAGGGACAAGAUGGAAAGUGUACUCUGCACAGAGACUCUAUACUGUGAAAAGAGGGAGAAUCAAUUUAUGGGCCAAGAAAGACCUGGACAAAAUUAUACAUUUUGAAGGAAAUCACUUGUGCUGAAGCAAUGAAAACUUUCUGGAGAGCUAUUUGAGGAGGCAGAUGUUUAGGUCUCCAAAUGCAAGUGCAAACUGGGGUGCUGUCAAGCAGCCUGGUGCUUAAAGGGCAGAGCCAGGAUGGACCCAGAUUCUGGUUUCCACCAUGUGCCUGAUGGAUACCAUGCGGAUGUGGAGCAGGAAACACUGGGUGCAAAUCCCCACCAGGAACUGUUCAUCCUGAAAAAAACCUGCUGCACAUUGCCCUGGUCACCUCAACGAAAAG
rnacentral:lncRNA from 1 species